rnacentral:rRNA from 1 species
AAUCGGAAUAUUUGGCAAUGGGCGAAAGCCUGACCAAGCAAUGCCGCGUGAGCGAUGAAGUCUUUCGGGAUGUAAAGCUCUGUGUUGUGGGAAGAAAACCUGACAUGUUAACAAUGUGUCAGCUUGACGGUACCAUAAUAGAAAGCCCCGGCUAACUACGUGCCAGCAGCCGCGGUGAUACGUAGGGGGCAAGCGUUGUUCGGAAUUACUGGGCGUAAAGGGCGUACAGGCGGCUUUGUAAGUCGGAUGUGAAAUCCUUGAGCUUAACUUGAGAACUGCAUUCGAUACUGCUUGGCUUGAGAUCAGGAGAGGAAAGCGGAAUAUGUGGUGUAGCGGUGAAAUGCGCAGAUAUCACAUAGAACACCGGUGGCGAAGGCGGCUUUCUGGCCUGAUUCUGACGCUGACGCGCGAAAGCUAGGGGAGCGAACGGGAUUAGAAACCCUGGUAGUCC